UCUCUUGAUUUUCUGUGUGACUAUGUACCAGAUGACAAUUCCAACAUUGAAGAUGACAUUUUGGGAAAGGAUGAAGAUUAAGGGGAUGAUUGGCUUGAGAGAUGGAUGGACUGCAAUCUUUUACUGGUCUGCUACUUGAGAAAUGAAGAUCAAAUGGAUGACUCUUUUUCUUUUA